UACGUAGGCAGCAAGCGUUGUUCGGAAUUACUGGGCGUAAAGAGUGUGUAGGCGGUGUUCUAAGUCUGUUGUGAAAUCUCCCGGCUUAACUGGGGAACUGCGUCUGAUACUGGAUGGCUAGAGUGUGGGAGAGGGAUGCGGAAUUCCCAGUGUAGAGGUGAAAUUCGUAGAUAUUGGGAAGAACACCGAUGGCGAAGGCAGCCAUCUGGACCGACACUGACGCUGAGGCGCGAAAGCGUGGGGAGCAAACAGGG
rnacentral:rRNA from 1 species